UACGGAGGGUGCGAGCGUUGUCCGGAAUCAUUGGGCGUAAAGGGCGCGUAGGUGGCCCAGUUAGCGUGCGGUGAAAGCUCGGGGCUCAACCCCGAGUCGGCCGUGCGAACUGCUGGGCUCGAGCACUGUAGAGGCAGGCGGAAUUCCGGGUGUAGCGGUGGAAUGCGUAGAGAUCCGGAAGAACACCGGUGGCGAAGGCGGCCUGCUGGGCAGUAGCUGACACUGAGGCGCGACAGCGUGGGGAGCAAACAGG
rnacentral:rRNA from 1 species